GACGAACGCUGGCGGCGUGCUUAACACAUGCAAGUCGAACGGAAAGGCCCUGCUUUUGUGGGGUGCUCGAGUGGCUAACGGGUGAGUAACACGUGAGUAACCUGCCCUUGACUUUGGGAUAACUUCAGGAAACUGGGGCUAAUACCGGAUAGGAGCUCCUGCUGCAUGGUGGGGGUUGGAAAGUCUCGGCGGUUGGGGAUGGACUCGCGGCUUAUCAGCUUGUUGGUGGGGUAGUGGCUUACCAAGGCUUUGACGGGUAGCCGGCCUGAGAGGGUGACCGGCCACAUUGGGACUGAGAUACGGCCCAGACUCCUACGGGAGGCAGCAGUGGGGAAUAUUGCACAAUGGGCGGAAGCCUGAUGCAGCAACGCCGCGUGCGGGAUGACGGCCUUCGGGUUGUAAACCGCUUUCGCCUGUGACGAAGCGUGAGUGACGGUAAUGGGUAAAGAAGCACCGGCUAACUACGUG
rnacentral:rRNA from 1 species